GCGCGAGUGGUGGAAUUGGCAGACACGCAGGAUUCAGGUUCCUGUGUCUUAACGGACGUGAGGGUUCAAGUCCCUCCUCGCGCA
rnacentral:tRNA from 1 species